UUGAAUGACAGUGGUGAGAUCAAGAUUGAUAAGCUGGUGACAAUUGCAUUCUCUAUUGGAAAAUAUGUUGAUGAGGCACUGCGUGAUGUGGUGCCAAUGCAAGCUUAUCAUUUAUUAUUGGAAAAACCUUGGCAGUUUGACCGUCGAGCAUUCCAUGAUGGUUACACGAAUAAGUUCUCAUUUGAUUUUAAUGGUCGUAAGAUCACUCUUGCUCCAUUAUCACCUAAGGAGGUUUACCUUGACUAGUUAAAGCUUCAACAGGAUACCAAGGAGAAAAUGGGAUGUGAGGCCAAAGAAAAAUCUGAGAAAAAAGAGGCUAUGAGAGAAAAAAUAUAGAAAAAGAACCAAAGGUGAGUGAAAAGAAAGAAAAGAGUACAUGUCAUGAGAAUAGUGCAAAUACAGAGAAAAAUGAGAGAGUUGAGAGAAAAUUGUGUUUAUUUACAAAAGAGAGAGAUUUAAAGAGUGUUUUAAUAGGCAAGAGAGCUGUGAUUAUGGCUCGGUUUAGGAAUACUUUGUUAUCUAACACUGAACUUAAUCCAAAUUUGCCAAAUAAUUUUGUCUCUUUGUUGCAGAAAUUUGUGAAUGUCUUUCCUACUGACAUGCCCAGUGGUUUACCUCCGUUACGAGGGAUUGAACACCAAAUUGAUUUUAUUCUAGUGCUAGCAUUUUGAAUAGACUAGCCUAUAGGAGUAACCCUGAGGAGACAAAAGAACUUCAAAGGCAAGAAGAGGACUCACUAGCCAAAGGUCACAUUAGAGAGAGCAUGAAUCCAUGUGUUGUACCAGUUUUGUUGGUUCCAAAGAAGGAUGGUACUUGGCGGAUGUAUAUGAAUUGUCGUGCAGUAAAUAAGAUUACGGUAAAGUAUUGUUAUCCUAUUCUAGGUUAGAUGACAUGCUUGAUGAAUUACAUGGUGCAUGCAUAUUCACUAAAAUUGAUUUGAAAAGUGGGUAUCAUCAAAUUAGAAUGAAAUCCAGAGAUGAAUGAAAGACUACAUUAAAACCAAACAUAGGUUAUAUGAGUGGUUAGUAAUGCUUUUUGGGUUAACUAAUGCAACUAGUACUUUUAUGCGUCUAAUAAAUGAUGUUUUGGGAGAAUUUUUGGGUAAAUUUGUUGUUUAUUUUGAGGAUAUUCUCAUUUAUAGCACUUGUUUAGAAGACCACUUAUCACAUGUUUUAGCUGUUUUAGAAAUGUUUCAAAAAGAAAAAUUAUAUGCCAAUCUUAAAAAAUGCACAUUUUUAUUGAUAGAGUUGUAUUUCUUGGUUUUAUUGUGAGUGUGAGUGGAAUUGAGGUUGAUAAGGAAAAGGUGAAGGGUAUUCAUAAACGGCCAACACCCAAGAAUACUUCUGAGGUAAGAAGUUUUCAUGGUUUAGCUGGGUUUUACAAGAGAUUUGUGAAAAAAUUUUCUACCAUUGCUACGCCUCUCGCAGAGGUUAUAAAAAAAGAUGUUGGAUUUAAAUGGAAAAGGAACAAAAAAUUAUAUUUCAUACCCUAAAAUAUUGUUUGUGUUCUGCUCCUAUUCUUAUUUUACCUAACUUUGAUAAAACCUUUGAGAUCGAAUGUGAUACUUCUAGGAUUGGUAUAUGUGCUAUUUUAAUGCAAAAAAAGUGUACUAUUGACUUCUUUAGUGAAAAGUUGAAUUCAGCUCAGUGCAAAUAUUCAACGUAAGACAGAAUUAUAUGCCUUGGUUUGAGCUUUGGAGGUUUGGCAAUACUACCUCUUACCUAAGGAGUUUGUGAUUCACACGGAUCAUGAAUCUUUGAAGCACCUAAAGGGACAAGGCAAGUUUGAUAAAAGACAUGCUAAAUGGGUGGAAUUCAUUGAGACAUUUCUAUAUGUGAUUGCCUUUAAACAAACUAAAGAGAAUGUAGUUGCUGAUGCUUUAUCUAGGAGGUAUGCUUUGAUUACUACACUUACUUGUAAGUUGUUAGGAUUUGAGUUUUUAAAGGAGUUAUAUGCCACUGAUUCUGACUUUUCUGUUAUUUAUGCCUUUUGUGAACAUGGUGUAUUUAACAAAUUUUAUAGACAUGAAGGUUUUCUGUUUCGUGGUAAUAGAAUUUGUGUGCUUGCUUGUUCUAUUAGGGACUUAAUUAUUCGGAAAUCACAUAAUGGGGGUAUAAUGGAUCAUUUUGGUAUGCAUAAGACACUGGAUGUGUUAUCUGAACAUUUUUACUGGCUACACAUGCUUAGGGAUGUUAAAAAAUUUUUUGCUAAGUGUAUUGCAUGUAAACAGACUAAAGCUAAAUUUUUACUACAUGGUUUGUAUACUCUGUUACCUGUUCCUGUGCAUCCAUAGGUUAAUAUUUCUCUGGAUUUUAUUCUUGGUUUGUCUCGAACUAAGAAAGGUAGAGUUAGCAUUUUUAUUGUGGUAGACAGGUUUAUUAAAAUGGCUCAUUUUAUUGCAUGCCAUAAAACUGAUGAUGCAACAAACAUUGUUGAUCUUUCUUUAGAGAGGUUGUGCACUUGUAUGGUGUUCUCCAAGCUAUUGUUUCUGAUCGUGACGUAAAAUUUUUGAGUCAUUUUUGAAAAAUGUUAUAAGUUAAAUUGGACACAAAAUUAUUAUACUCUACUACUUGUCAUCCUUAGACUGAUGGUCAAACUGAAGUAGUAAAUAGAAUAUUAGGGACCUUAUUACGUGCUGUUGUUGGUAAGAAUCUAAAAAUUUGGGAAGAUUGUUUAUCUUUUAUUGAAUUUUCUUAUAAUAUAACAAUUCAUUCUUCUACAGCUUUUUUCCUUUUGAACUUGUUUGUGGUUUUAACUCUUUAACUAUUUUAGACUUAUUACCUUUGCUUUUGCAUGAUCUUGUUAGCUUGGGUACAGAAGGUAAAGUUGAAAAGGUUAAAGCAAUGUACUUGAAAGCACGUGAGUUGAUUUAAAAGAAAAACAAGUUGACAGCUCAAAGGGUGAAUAAAGGUCGAAGACAACUUGUCUUUGAACUUGGUGACUGGGUAUGGGUUUGAGAAAGGAGAGGUUUCCUAUUCAAAAAAAAUUCAGGUUAGACCCUAGGGAUUCGAGAACGAAUCUUUUUCAAGAGGGAAGGAAUGAUAUGAGCUCUGUGGGAUAAAUUGAGAACUGUCAUAUGCUAAUUAGUCUCAUUACAAGAGCAACAACUAAGAGAAAAAAAGAAGAUUUUGCAAACACGGCUAAAUCAUUUGUUCAAGAGAUGCAU